rnacentral:rRNA from 1 species
AUGGAGAGUUUGAUCCUGGCUCAGGACGAACGCUGGCGGCGUGCUUAACACAUGCAAGUCGAACGGGAUCCAUGGAGUAGCAAUACUCCGGAAGAUCUAGUGGCGAACGGGUGAGUAACACGUGAGCAACCUGCCCUAAAGACUGGGAUAACCCCGGGAAACCGGAGCUAAUACCGGAUGUCCUCUUCGGAUCGCAUGGUCUGAUGAGGAAAUGAAUUUCGCUUUAGGAGGGGCUCGCGGGAUAUCAGCUUGUUGGUGGGGUAACGGCCUACCAAGGCUUCGACGUCUAGCUGGUCUGAGAGGACGAUCAGCCACACUGGGACUGAGACACGGCCCAGACUCCUACGGGAGGCAGCAGUGGGGAAUCUUGCCCAAUGGGGGAAACCCUGAGGCAGCAACGCCGCGUGCGGGAUGACGGCCUUCGGGUUGUAAACCGCUUUCAGCAGGGACGAAAUUGACGGUACCUGCAGAAGAAGCUCCGGCCAACUACGUGCCAGCAGCCGCGGUAAUAC